AUGAGGAAACCAAUGGUAAAAAUAUCUGCCUGCAAUGCAGGAGACCCGGGUUUGAUCCCUGGCUCGGGAAGAUCCCCCUGGAGAAGGGCAUGGCAACUCACUCCAGUAUUCUUGCCUGGGAAAUCCCAUGGACAGAGGAGCCUGGUCGACUAUAGUCUAUGGCUUCACAAAGAGUUGGAAACAACUGAGCGACUAACACACACACACACACACACACACACUCAAGGCCCAGAAGGAAAAGCACAGCCCAUGGGGCCACGGUGGAGUGGGGGAUGGGAGGACAGAGCAAUUAAUUCAACAAACGCGGUGAGGGCUUCCUGUGUGCCAGAUGUGUACAGGGCGGGGUUCUGGGAAGAGGAAACCCUAGCCUCACCCUGGAAGGUACACAGCCUGCUCACGGGACCUGAGCUGUGGGGGAGGGAAGCCGGAGGAGGAGACUGGCUUGGACCCUGCCAGGGGGGGCAUCUCUCUCAGGACCCUGGGGUGAGGACUGUAAUGAAGGACACAAACAGGAAGACAAAUACAAGCGGAGGUCGUGAGCGCCAUCCUUGGACGCGAGCAUCAAUAUUUCAUCCUUGCUUCGCCUGCCAGCAUCCCGCUCCCUCCUCCCUGCUUCUCACCGGCUCUAGGACCCGGAGAGCUGGGCCACACUGGCCUGACCCAGGGCGUCAUCACAGAUGUCCACGCUGCCUUCAGCUUGCCCGCCGUGCCAUCGUGGACUCCAGAGUCUGCGCAAGAAGCCGCCCUUCUGAACCAGGUGUCGUUGGCUUUUUCCCACCUCCCAGGCCUAGGCAGGUGGAUAAAGGAAGCAGCGUGGGUGUUCAGGAGCACACAUCCCUCCGGCCAGCCCCCAGCCCGUCUCAUCUCGUCCACUUGAGGUCACAGAGGAAUGCGCUGUGCUCUGCCAGGGGGUCCUGGCAGAGUGUGGAGCUGGGAUGGAAGCAGUUACUCUCAGGAGGACUUUGGGCAGACUGUGGUCCUUUCUCAGGCUGGUGGCCAGCUCUUCAUUUCUGUGUUGGGACUGGGGUUGAGGGUGCCUGCUGAC
rnacentral:lncRNA from 1 species